rnacentral:rRNA from 1 species
GGGUCAGUAGGUUGGUCGUGCCACCGGUACGUACUGGUCUCACUGAUUCCUCCUUCCUGAAGAACCGUAAUGCCAUUAAUUUGGUGUUGCGGGGAAACAGGACUGUUACUUUGAAAAAAUUAGAGUGUUUAAAGCAAGCUAACGCUUGAAUACAUUAGCAUGGAAUAAUGAAAUAGGACGAUCGGUCCUAUUUUGUUGGUUCCUAGGAUUGACGUA